AUACGUAGGGGGCGAGCGUUGUCCGGAAUGAUUGGGCGUAAAGGGCGCGUAGGCGGCGCGGUAAGUCUGGAGUGAAAGUCCUGCUUUCAAGGUGGGAAUUGCUUUGGAUACUGCCGCGCUUGAGUGCAGGAGAGGUUAUCGGAAUUCCCGGUGUAGCGGUGAAAUGCGUAGAGAUCGGGAGGAACACCAGUGGCGAAGGCGGGUAUCAGCGCUGCAACUGACGCUGAGCCGCGCAAGUGUGGACAGCAAACAGGAUGUUAUAACCUGGUUUUCCACACUUUAAACGAUGAAUGCUAAGCGUAAGAGUUAUCGACCCAUAUUGUGCCGGAGGCAACACAAUAAUCAUUCCGCCUGGCGAGAACGUCCGCAACGUUGAAACUCAAAUAAAUUGCCUGGG
rnacentral:rRNA from 1 species